GGGUUGUGAGGUUAAGCGACUAAGCGUACACGGUGGAUGCCCUGGCAGUCAGAGGCGAUGAAGGGCGUGCUAAUCUGCGAUAAGCGCCGGUAAGGUGAUAUGAACCGUUAUAACCGGCGAUACCCGAAUGGGGAAACCCAGUGUGAUUCGUCACACUAUCAUUAACUGAAUCCAUAGGUUAAUGAGGCGAACCGGGGGAACUGAAACAUCUAAGUACCCCGAGGAAAAGAAAUCAACCGAGAUUCCCCCAGUAGCGGCGAGCGAACGGGGAGGAGCCCAGAGCCUGAAUCAGCAUGUGUGUUAGUGGAAGCGUCUGGAAAGGCGCGCGAUACAGGGUGACAGCCCCGUACACAAAAGCGCAUGUGCUGUGAGCUCGAUGAGUAGGGCGGGACACGUGGUAUCCUGUCUGAAUAUGGGGGGACCAUCCUCCAAGGCUAAAUACUCCUGACUGACCGAUAGUGAACCAGUACCGUGAGGGAAAGGCGAAAAGAACCCCGGCGAGGGGAGUGAAAAAGAACCUGAAACCGUGUACGUACAAGCAGUGGGNNNNNNNNNNNNNNNNNGUGACUGCGUACCUUUUGUAUAAUGGGUCAGCGACUUAUAUUCUGUAGCAAGGUUAACCGAAUAGGGGAGCCGGAGGGAAACCGAGUCUUAAUUGGGCGUUAAGUUGCAGGGUAUAGACCCGAAACCCGGUGAUCUAGCCAUGGGCAGGUUGAAGGUUGGGUAACACUAACUGGAGGACCGAACCGACUAAUGUUGAAAAAUUAGCGGAUGACCUGUGGCUGGGGGUGAAAGGCCAAUCAAACCGGGAGAUAGCUGGUUCUCCCCGAAAGCUAUUUAGGUAGCGCCUCGUGAAUUCAUCUCCGGGGGUAGAGCACUGUUUCGGCUAGGGGGCCAUCCCGGCUUACCAACCCGAUGCAAACUGCGAAUACCGGAGAAUGUUAUCACGGGAGACACACGGCGGGUGCUAACGUCCGUCGUGAAGAGGGAAACAACCCAGACCGCCAGCUAAGGUCCCAAAGUCAUGGUUAAGUGGGAAACGAUGUGGGAAGGCCCAGACAGCCAGGAUGUUGGCUUAGAAGCAGCCAUCAUUUAAAGAAAGCGUAAUAGCUCACUGGUCGAGUCGGCCUGCGCGGAAGAUGUAACGGGGCUAAACCAUGCACCGAAGCUGCGGCAGCGACACUGUGUGUUGUUGGGUAGGGGAGCGUUCUGUAAGCCUGUGAAGGUGUGUCGUGAGGCAUGCUGGAGGUAUCAGAAGUGCGAAUGCUGACAUAAGUAACGAUAAAGCGGGUGAAAAGCCCGCUCGCCGGAAGACCAAGGGUUCCUGUCCAACGUUAAUCGGGGCAGGGUGAGUCGACCCCUAAGGCGAGGCCGAAAGGCGUAGUCGAUGGGAAACGGGUUAAUAUUCCCGUACUUGGUGUUACUGCGAAGGGGGGACGGAGAAGGCUAUGUUGGCCGGGCGACGGUUGUCCCGGUUUAAGCGUGUAGGUGUGUGUUCCAGGUAAAUCCGGUUCACUUUAACACUGAGGCGUGACGACGAGGCACUACGGUGCUGAAGCAACAAAUGCCCUGCUUCCAGGAAAAGCCUCUAAGCAUCAGGUAACAUCAAAUCGUACCCCAAACCGACACAGGUGGUCAGGUAGAGAAUACCAAGGCGCUUGAGAGAACUCGGGUGAAGGAACUAGGCAAAAUGGUGCCGUAACUUCGGGAGAAGGCACGCUGACACGUAGGUGAAGUGAUUUACUCAUGGAGCUGAAGUCAGUCGAAGAUACCAGCUGGCUGCAACUGUUUAUUAAAAACACAGCACUGUGCAAACACGAAAGUGGACGUAUACGGUGUGACGCCUGCCCGGUGCCGGAAGGUUAAUUGAUGGGGUCAGCGCAAGCGAAGCUCCUGAUCGAAGCCCCGGUAAACGGCGGCCGUAACUAUAACGGUCCUAAGGUAGCGAAAUUCCUUGUCGGGUAAGUUCCGACCUGCACGAAUGGCGUAAUGAUGGCCAGGCUGUCUCCACCCGAGACUCAGUGAAAUUGAACUCGCUGUGAAGAUGCAGUGUACCCGCGGCAAGACGGAAAGACCCCGUGAACCUUUACUAUAGCUUGACACUGAACAUUGAGCCUUGAUGUGUAGGAUAGGUGGGAGGCUUUGAAGUGUGGACGCCAGUCUGCAUGGAGCCGACCUUGAAAUACCACCCUUUAAUGUUUGAUGUUCUAACGUGGACCCGUUACCCGGGUUGCGGACAGUGUCUGGUGGGUAGUUUGACUGGGGCGGUCUCCUCCUAAAGAGUAACGGAGGAGCACGAAGGUUGGCUAAUCCUGGUCGGACAUCAGGAGGUUAGUGCAAUGGCAUAAGCCAGCUUGACUGCGAGCGUGACGGCGCGAGCAGGUGCGAAAGCAGGUCAUAGUGAUCCGGUGGUUCUGAAUGGAAGGGCCAUCGCUCAACGGAUAAAAGGUACUCCGGGGAUAACAGGCUGAUACCGCCCAAGAGUUCAUAUCGACGGCGGUGUUUGGCACCUCGAUGUCGGCUCAUCACAUCCUGGGGCUGAAGUAGGUCCCAAGGGUAUGGCUGUUCGCCAUUUAAAGUGGUACGCGAGCUGGGUUUAGAACGUCGUGAGACAGUUCGGUCCCUAUCUGCCGUGGGCGCUGGAGAACUGAGGGGGGCUGCUCCUAGUACGAGAGGACCGGAGUGGACGCAUCACUGGUGUUCGGGUUGUCAUGCCAAUGGCACUGCCCGGUAGCUAAAUGCGGAAGAGAUAAGUGCUGAAAGCAUCUAAGCACGAAACUUGCCCCGAGAUGAGUUCUCCCUGAGACUUAGAGUCUCCUGAAGGAACGUUGAAGACGACGACGUUGAUAGGCCGGGUGUGUAAGCGCAGCGAUGCGUUGAGCUAACCGGUACUAAUGAACCGUGAGGCUUAACCUUACAACGCCGAAG
rnacentral:rRNA from 1 species